AAGCCCACGCACCCUUGUUGGAUCUGCAAUCCCCCGGAACAGUGUUCAUUUUGAAAGAAAAUUUUAGUAGAAGCUUACACGUUUGUUUCGGUAUCACUCCAAAAGUUAACAAUUGUUCUGUGAAGGUUGACACCUUAUUAUUUUUUCAAAAAUUCUGCUUUCUCUAUUGACGAACAUUUGUUGAAAUUUUUAAUGAAUCUUGUGGUCAUUUUAUUUAAGAAAUUGAAACAAAAUCGUAAACAGUGUACUAGGAAUUUUUUAUUUGAUUGGAAUUUGAUAGCUGCGAUGAAUCGACUCUCAGAUACCAUUGUUGAUAACCCACUGCAUUACUGCUGCUGUUUCAUUGGAGAUAGUAGAAACUCUUUGGAUCCACCUCAAUUGCUGAUUUCUUUGAUGAGUGGGUUAUCGACUGUUUCAGUGGUAUCUGAUCCUUCAGUGGUCAUUAUUCAUUACGGACUGACUACUAAAGAGACUCGGCUGUGUCAAUCUGCAAAAUUUGGCAGCUGAAAGUUGUGAACUUGAAACAACUUGAGUGGAAUGAAGAAUUUGUCACUGAUGAGCAAGAAAGGAUUAAACAUCUUAAUUUAGAUUGAAGUGUCUUAGUAAGGACCAGAAAUGGCUCUCUAACAAUCCUCGCAUAAGAAAAACAAGACAAUGAGCAACAUUACUGCAAUUAGAAUAAUAGAUUCACUGAGCAAUUGGACACAGUUUUUCUCCACUUCAUCUAAAUUAAAGAAGAAGAAACUGUUUUUCCAGCAUACGGACGAAAAGAGGUUCUUUCAUUAUGAGUAGGUGAGAUAUUUAGCAGGGAAAUUAUGUAUUACAUAAUUUAAUUAUGCAAAUUAUGUAUACUAAAAACUAAUAUAUAGAAAUAUUAGUUUUUAGUAUACAUAAUUUAUGGUAUGCGGUGUCAUUAAUCAUUUAGUUAUUGAUCGAAAUGAAUCAUUAGGUUGAUUUUUAACUGUCUGUAAAUAAAGAGGAGGAGAUGGUUUUUGGUUUCGGUUUUGGUCGACUCGAUUUUCAAUAAUGGUUUGGAACGUCACUGGGAAAAAUAUAUUCGUAUUUUAUUGUUAGAAAAUCUAUAGUAUUCAAUUUAUUAUUAAUAUAUGUGAUAUAAUUAAAUUAAAAGUGAACUUUAUCAUAAACUAAAUAGUUUUUAUUGUUAUUAUUUAAGUCAAAAUUAUAUACAUUAAAAAGGAAAAAAAUUUUUUUCUUCCAUAUUUAUUCAGUUAUUUUGUCUUAAACCACCUUAACAAUUGGAUGUAAGGUCCUAACUAAUUAUUUUUAUUAGAUACAUGUAAUCAUUUUUUGUGCUGUUUAAGUGUUAAAUUUUAUUGACAGCUCUAAAGUAUCUUUUGUACACUGUUUUCUUUUGUGUUUUUUUAUAUAUCUUUUUUGAGCAAUUUUUUCUUUCACUUAAAAAAAGUGAAAAUUCUCGCAUAAAUAGAAUAAGUUUUUAAAAUAAUAUGAAGCAUAAAAAAGCUAAAAAUAAUCUAAGUAUUGCUAUUAAUAUGAUAGGCAAUCCAAUGGUAGCCAAAAGGCGGAUUGGAAACAAUAACUACAUGGUUCUUAUUUCCAUUCUGUAAAUGAGAGUUUUUUAAAGGUUUGAUAGAAAGUUUCAUAAUGAAAAACAUUCAUUAGAAAUAAUAAUUCUGAUUGGAUUUGGUCGUCACUAAAAUGCAUCGGCAUUGUUCGGAUAUCAUUAAACAGCUAAUAAUCCAUUGUAGUGGAUUAACCGGUAAUGUCACUAUUUCAAUAGUAUCUGGGUUGUGCUGAAUUGUAUAACUCGAAAUUAUGAUUAUGUCAGCCUCCGAUAAAACGAAUAUAUGAGCCAGAUCAUCAUUUCUCUCCUCACCUCAUUCAACGGAUAGGAUUGUUAUUAUCGAUAGCGAAUGGUGUAGUUCCUAAUCCAUAGCAAAACAAUAUGUUUAAUUUUUUACCAUCAAGUUACCUGGUUUAAGUGUUUUUACUAAUAAUAUAUAGACUCUCAGUAAUCCAGCACUUCACGCUAAAAUGAUGUUUCCACAACAGUUUUAAUGCUUUCCUUUGAAAGCUAUUAAUUCUGCAAUGCCAAAAUACGCUCUGUGAGUGAAGCAAUUUCAAAGAUAUAAAAAAAUCCGGUAUUAAAAUCAGUUCUAUUGUUUAGAAAAAAAAAAUAUAAAAUACUUGUCCCAGUAAUAAAUUUACGAUAAACUUAUAAAAAAAUUGGCUGCAUUAAAAAUGACCCCCAAAAAAUAUUGGUUAGCAUCUACAGUUAUUAGGAAUAGUCAAACUCUAAACAUUUUAUUUAUGGAAGAUAAGAGUGAAAUCAAAUUGAAUUCAAUGGGAAAGGGAUUGGGAAUGUUUGAGAAAAACUUAAUACUAAUCAUUCAAUUUUCAUUUUUUUACCUUUUAUUUACUGAAACUUUUGUUUACUUAUUUUAAAGUAAAAAUGUAGCGAUAAUUUUUACCCAUGUCCCUUUUCAAAGUUCUAAGUUUAUAAUAUUAAAUUGAACAACUCAACUUCGUAUUGAAACGAUUUUCGUAACGAAAAAGAGGAUUUAUGUUUUUAUGUGAAUGGCAACCGUAUGAAUAAACAAAAAGAAUUGGAUGUCGAGUUUCGUGUGGUUGUGAUUUAUUUUAACUAACCUGUUUUAUUAUAAUAUGGACAAAAUAUUUUGGUGACUUGCUUACGUGAUACGGAAACAGAUGAGUCGUGGUUAUUAAAAAAAUGAAAUAAUUAAACUUGACAUCAUGAUUACGGAAGAUAUAUUGAGAAAAUGAAAGUCUGUUCGCACUGCGUUUGCGAAAACUAUAAAUAGUUUAACGGAGAAAUUUGAAAAAAGAAGUACCAAAGGGCGAAAUUGUAAAAACGAAAUGUUUAACUUUAGAUCAUAUUUACAGUGAAUUAAAAGUUUGUAAUGAUAUAAUUUUGAACAAUAUCGAAACAGAUAAAGAUUUUAAAAUGAAUAUGGUAAAAUCGAAGAAUAUGGAGAAAAAAUGGUUUUAGUGAGAGUAAAAAAUGAAUACUUUUUCAAUAAGAUGUGUUCCGACAGAACAGCUGAAUCAGUAAUUUUAUUGCCAAAUGAAAAACGAAAAAUGCGCCAACCAAAAAAUUGAACUGUUGCAUUUUGAUAAAGAUUUGAAGGAUUAUUUAGAAUUUUCGAGCCAAUUUCUAAGAAUACAUACUGAUAUCCGAGAAUAAAUUUCGAUAUUCAUUACAAUGCAUUGUGUAAGGAAGUCGAGCUCGCGAAGUUAUUGAAAGUUUCCUUCCAACAUCUGAAAACAAAUAUAAGAUACAAAAAUAUCUAAUGAAAAUCUUGAAAAUGAAAAUAAUACUUGUAAAAUUGAAUGGUUUUAUAUCAAACUUUUGGAAAUGUAAAUAAAUGUAAUAUUCCUGUAUUUCAAAUAAAUCAUUUGGAAACGAUAAUAAUAAUUACAAAAUUCAAAAAUCUCAAACAAAACACUUGUAUAUGAAUGUAACAAACACAAGACUCAAAAUACUCUUAUAAUAUUUGGGAAAAAAAUAUGUAAUAUAAAAAAAUAUUUGUAUUUUGUAAAAAACAAGUAUUUGGACACAUGAUAAUAGAGGGUUGCUCAAUAACUGUCAGGAGUGUAAAAUUUUCCCCUGAGGUAUAAAAAUCUUGGUAUGUUACUUUUUUCGUUCACAAUGUCUGCAUGCAAAAUUUUUGAUAACCUUUGAGUUAGAUAAAUUUAAUUAAAAUUGGGGAGAUCAUUUUUUCUUAUUUAUUAAUAGCAUGUACAUAAAUUUCAAAUUCAACAAAUUAUAAUAUUAUGAAUAAAUUUUAAAUAAUAUAUAUGAAAAAAUUUAAAAACUCAAUAUUUUAAACUAAAGCUCAUGAUAUUUUGAAUAAUAAUAUAAAAAGAUUAUUUGCUAUUAUAUUAUAAUAGAAAAAUGCAAUUUAAAAUCAAAUCAAAAGUGCAGAAUAAAAAUUUUGAAUUUCACUCGUUGAGUCAGCUGAUGGAUGAUUUUUUUCUUUUUUAAACACUGAUCAUUUCUUGAAGAAUAAUCGCUUUUAUAAUUAAUCACAAAAUGAGCACUGGAACUGGAGACUAUAACAGGUGACUAUUAUAUUGUAGUGAUAAUAUUACAAGGAAAUGACGUCGAGAGCGGGAUUAUUCAGCACAGGUAAGAAAUGACGUCGAGAGCGGGAUUAUUCAGCACAGGUAAGGAGCCAGAAAUUUUUUAUGAUGACGAGGAGUUUCAACUCCUUGAAAAUAUAAGGAUCACGCACAUGACGGUAUGGAGCACUAAUACAAGGGUAUUAAGCAGCAGUGUCGGAUGAAGUCACUGGUUAGGCACGGAUAUAUAUAUAUAUAUAUAUAUAUAUAUAUAAAUUGAUUGUAAAUAAAGUUAGUUAGCUCAGAUUAAAUUCUCCUCGGAACGCGUAAUCGAUGUCGGAGCGGUACUGGGGGUCCAUGGUUAGACCAUUCACCAUCUACAAUAAUGAUAUCCCCUGCCUCAGAAAUUGCCUUACCCAAAUAUGUCUAUUGGCCGACGACACUGCUCUCAUGAGCACCAGUGCAUCCAGAAUGAUAAUGGAACAACAACAAAAAAAUACUUUGGCCGAUGGUUAAUCAUGUGGGAAAUAAAAGUUAACGCAGACAAAUGUCAAGGAGUUAAUUUCACCAGAAGAAAAAUUGUUCGGAUACCCCCCCCCCCGUCCCCCCUAGAAUUAUAUAAAAAUCCUAAUUGAAUGGAGCAUUAAUACAAAGUAUUUAGGAGUAAUACUUGACAAAAAGUUUAUAAGGAUCACAUCACUCAAGUAAGAAAUAAAUUUUAGGCCAUGAAAGCAAAAUUAUCCCACUCGUAAGCAGGAAAACAAAACUCUCUCUGAGAAACAAGCUUUUGCUCUACAAGGCAAUGCUUAGAUCCAACAUGAGCUAGGCAUCCCCUGUGUGGUUCACAGCCACUAAAUCACAGAUUAAUAAACUGGAAAAAUUACGAAACAUAGUUGUAAGGCAAAUAAAGACUUCCCAUAGUUUAUCAGAAAUAAAUAUAUCCAAAAGGAUCUAAACCUUCCCUCCGCAAUAGAAUUCUUUCAAAAACUAGCAAAUAAUUUCUUCAAUAAAAUACACCUUCUGUCAAACCCCGCGAUCUAAGCAAUACCGACCUACGAUCCCCUCAACCCAGAAAAGGAAGGAGACCUCGUGCCCUUGUCCCUUAAUUCACCAGCUGUGCUGCCAGAACCUUCCAUGUACCACUGACGGGAAGCAUUGGAAAGGAAACGACACCAUGGAGCUCAUCCCCUCCCCCAAAUGCGGACCAGGCAUUUUUAGGACUUGUGAGGAAAGCCCAAAGGAAUGAGACUGAAAUGAGCAAAGACAAGAUGACAACCAUUUGAACCUGACCAGCUGAGCCGAACGCUCCAGAUGUUACACGCAGGUUAGGCGUCGAAGAUUGUGAACCAUUGAGAUCAGGUGCUCCGUCAAAACAACCUCAUCAGUAAUGAAUUAUCUCAGACUUGUUGCAUUUAAAGGGCUAAGCAAUCGUCUACAUUUGUGAUCCGGUUUCUUUGACCGCUCUUGCUGUGUGGAUCUGAUGCCUACUCCAACAUAAACUCUGUUCGUGUCUCAGUUUCUUAGACCUCUUUUGGAUGUUUCUACUAUCAGACCUUUAUCUGAAAAUUAUACUGAUGUUUAUUAGAGAAAUUUAAAGACAGAUGAUCAUGGAUGAAUAAAUGUUGCUGCAUCUUCUGUCUGCCACACCAUGUUAGAAGCAGAUUAAUUGUCGAAAGGAAAAAGAAAUGUUUCCAGGGUACUAACAGAGCAAGACAAAUCUUAAAAUUGAAAAAUCACGGAAAAAAUCACAGUGGGGUCCCUUGGAUUUGUUUACAUCUGUCUUCUGCCACUCCUAUCUCCGAAUUAGAGGAAUUGUCGUUCUGGAAGUCAAAAACAUUUUAAGGCUUGUAACAGAAGUUGAAAAAUUUCAAGGUUUUUGAUGACAAAGAAGUCAUUUUUUUCACGCCUGCUCCUAAGAAAGUAACUGUCUUCUCACUGAAUGGAAAUAUAUUCAAAAUAUACGUAGACUACUUCAGCAUUGUGUCAAAAGGAAGAAUCAGAGUUAAACACACCACAAGACAACUUGCAGAUCCAUGAAAUUCUAUGAAUUAUAUUUUUUAUUUAUUCCUUCUCAUUUUCUUGUUGUAAAUAAAGCACACAAUUCUUGUUGAUCUUUGAGAAAAUAAUAAUAAUAAUAAAAAAAAAACGUUUUAUUCA